rnacentral:snRNA from 1 species
GUUCUGGCAGUACAUAUUCUAAAAUUGGAAUGAUAGAGAGAAGAUUAGCAUGGUCCCUGCACAAACACGGUUUUAUGUCUCGUGUAUUGCCAACAUUAUCU